UACGUAGGCAGCAAGCGUUGUUCGGAAUUACUGGGCGUAAAGAGUGUGUAGGCGGUGCUCUAGGUCUGUUGUGAAAUCUCCCGGCUUAACUGGGAGGGUGCAGCGGAAACUAGAAUGCUAGAGGGUGGGAGAGGUAAGCGGAAUUCCUGGUGUAGCGGUGAAAUGCGUAGAUAUCAGGAGGAACACCUGUGGUGUAGACAGCUUACUGGACCACUUCUGACGCUGAGACACGAAAGCGUGGGUAGCAAACAGG
rnacentral:rRNA from 1 species